GCAUCUGCGGGCCGCCGAGGCGGCCGGCGUCAAGGACGCCGAACGGCUCGAACGCGAGCUGUACGACCGGCGGUUCCUGGUCGCCCGGCCGCU
rnacentral:tRNA from 1 species